ACUUACAAGCAAGGUUCUAGAAGCAGGACGGUGGAAUUCUGGGAUGAAGAAGAAGAAUUUGCUACCUGUUUUGGAAGAACUAGCAGAGUGAGGGCACAGUGUCCUGUUUUACAGAUACUUGCUCAGCCACAUUCAUCACUGCUCUGUUCAUAACAGUUGGAAAUUGGAAACAACCUAAAUGCUUUCUCUCUCUGAUUUGUGGAUUCUAGAUCUGAAUCUUAAGAGGUGAGUGUAGAACCUGAAGUUAACACAGAAACCAUGAAGGUUAAAGGAGAGAAUGGGGAAGGGGUAAAAUGAGCUAUAAAGCAAGGUGAAGAGAACGAAUUGGGCAAUUAGAAAACUGAAGAGGCUUUAUCUAGCAGGAGGGAGGGCAAUCCAGAUGAAAAGGGAGGGAAGGGGGAUAAAGAGAACUAAAAGUCAUUGAAAAAGCCACAGCCAUUACAGAAACAUUAUUUUAGGUUUGCUUAAAAUAAAUAUGUAAUAUAAUUAAUAUAUGUAAAUGAAAAUGUAAUGAAGUUACAGCAAGUGUAGUGACAAUGCUCCCUCCAAUCCAGACUGCUUAACAAAAAUCUCUGGUGUCAGAUAUUGGGACACUUCCCUUCAAGUUGUUGCUCAGGGGAGUUCAAGGGACUCCCCAAACAAUAAAAAGAUGUGGAAGGUUAUAACUUGAAGACAAAAUUAGAAGCAGACCAGCUUGAAGGGGGUAGAUGAUACAACACUGACAGUUGCAGAAUGAAUAAUGCCCUCUAGAACAAUUUGAUAUGGAGUAUAAAGGAGAAUUAGGGUCCUAGUGUGAACCACAGGCUUUCCAGCAAAACUGGGAGGAGGGUGCUGUUACUGACUUAGAAGACACAGGAGGAAAGCUGAGUGCCAUUUGAGGAGCUUAGUUGGAAUAUCUUUUUUUUGUUUGUUUUUUUGUUUUUUUGAGACAGGGUUUGUCUGUACAGCCCUGUCUGUCCUGGAACUCACUUUGUAGACCAGGCUG
ensembl:processed_transcript 5530601H04Rik RIKEN cDNA 5530601H04 gene